CGACCGGGUCUUUCGUCCUCAUUCUUCCGCGGCGCUUGAAGGCAAGAAAGGUCCAGUAUUCUGCGGAUUCUUAAACCCUUGGAAUCUGGAGUAGUGUGUCCAAGGUGCUUUAUUUCUCCCACAGAGGUUGAAAAAUCUCCAGGUCCAGUAUCAUGUGGAUUGAUAAACGCAGCAGACAGUUGGGAACCUGGAGCAGGCCGAGGAAAUGUACCAACUCCAUUACUUGAGAAACACUCCAUUUUCCACGUUGGCCAGUGCUUUGGGGCUUUUGAUAAAACGUGACAACAGGAUUAUGGUGCGGGUCUGAUGCACUGAUGAAAGGGCCAUGUGCAGUACAGCUAAAUCAAAAGGCUACUUAAGAUGUUUGCACAAGAGAGAUGAUGCCGUCAGCUGACCAUGAAUGAGUUCAUGAGUUGCAGCUUUCCCUCUUGGGAGGAUCAGCAGCCGUCUGAAUGCUCUUCUGGGUUACUUAAGAUGUUUGCACAAAGAGGUGAAGAUGACAUCAGCUGAGCAUGAGUCCUGCAGGAGGCGCAAGCAUAUCUGCAUGAGUUGCAGCUUUUACUCUUGGGAGGAUCGGCAGCUGUCUGAAUGCUUUUUUUGGGCUGCCUAGGCAUGUGCUGAUUGACGAUAUUCUCAUGGAUGUCUUCUGUUCUAACUGGUGUCUGGUCAUUGACAGGUAUGGUGGUGGCUGCUCCAUUGUGACAUGGGGAUAUGAAUGCGACGUGCAUUCUUAAAGGAAGCUCUGGACUAUCCAGGAUGGCUCUGGAAAAAUGUGUAGUGGCAUAAGAACGGUGCUGCCUGCAUCUGACUCUUCAGAAUGAUGUUCCAGAGCUUCACUUGUACAGCUUUGAUUUUAAAGUCUAUUGUCUUUUGAAGCAGUAAAAUGUUUUAAAGCAGUUUUCUAACUAUAAAGUUUGUGAAGUGUCAUUUACUUCAAUAAAGUUGUCAAAUUGUAAGCCA